AUGCAUCAUCAACACCAUGCAUCUUCGAUCCGUAACAGCAACACAGCAAAAAUGCAAACGAAAGAGAAUCAUGAACAUAAAAAUUUCUCAGAAGAAACAAGUAGAAAUGAAAAAGUGAAGAAGCGAAAUCGGAAUCUGCAGAAGCAAAGAACUGAAAAGCUUACUUGUUCGAGAUUUCUCGUCUUCGCCGCUGUUGAAGAACUACCAGAGUUCUUUGUUAGGUAA